rnacentral:rRNA from 1 species
AUGCUGAUGGCUGGACUCCUAGCGAUGGCCCGCAGCUAUGUCCAGAAAUCGAAGACCAAGAAGAGGCCGGCCCAAGGAACAGUGCGCGACAUGGAGAAGAGGGUCAUGGAAGCGGUCCGGGCAAGGGAACGCGCCCGAUCAAGUUGGUUCAACAGGUUCAUGGCCGCAUCCGACAGGGUAGAUAAGGCUGUCGAAGGUUUCGUCGAGCAUCGCAUCAGCUUGCGCGCCGCCAGCAAAACGUCACCGUCCUUGUCUUGCAUCUCAUUAGCCUACGCACUAGCAAACUCGACGAUUUAUGGUCUCUGUUUGCUCUCCUUGUUUGUAUCAGUGUGCUCGUCAGAGAUCUUGUAA